GUCCGGCACUCCAGACGUUGAACGAGGUCACUGACGCCCCACUCUCCUCCUUGUCUUAGUAAAGUGCCAAAUCUUUACGUUUAAGAGGGAAUAUGGGGUCUUCUCUGGUCAUGCUUUCUCAGAUUCUCUUCAAACAACACCUCUCCACCGCUCCCCAAGCUGUUUCCAUGCUUCAACACAUACCAAGAAUUUUAUCAGUUCCCAUCAAUAUCCCUUCUGGGAGUUCCCAAAGAGCAUCUCACCUGGGUUCAUCAAAAAGUUCAGGACCACCAUGGGCUGCCACCCCUGUCUUCUUCUGCCUCUCCCUCUUCAGUGAUGUCAACUGCCCUGGCCUUCACUACUUAUGCAGCUGGAUGAAGAUGUCUCAAGGCUUCCUCCAGUGUUCCCAGUCAACC